rnacentral:rRNA from 1 species
UACAGAGGUGCCGAGCGUUAGGCGGAAUCACUGGGCUUAAAGCGUGUGUAGGCGGGUCGUUAAGUACCUUGUGAAAUCCCCCGGCUCAACCGGGGAACUGCUGGGUAUACUGGCGAUCUUGAGCGAUCUAGGGGCAGAUGGAACAAGUGGUGGAGCGGUGAAAUGCGUAGAGAUUGGAAAGAACACCAAUGGCGAAAGCACUUUACUGGGCUAUCACUGACACUGAGAGACGAAAGCUAGGGUAGCAAAUGGG